rnacentral:misc_RNA from 1 species
AACGCAUAUUGCGCCCUUUGGUAUUCCUUAGGGCACACCUGUUCGAGCGUCAUUUCACCACUCAAGCCUCGCUUGGUAUUGGGCGCCGCGGCCUCGUCCGCGCGCCUCAAAGACGUCGGCCGAGCUGUUCAGUCUCUUAGCGUUAUAGAAACCUAUCGCUUCUGAGGUCUGGACGGCGCGCAGCCGCUUGAAAAUCUUCGAAUCUUAUACAGGUUGACCUCGGAUCAGGUGGGGAUACCCGCUGAACUUAA